AAGUGUUCCCUCAGUUCACAUAGACCAGGCUUCCUCUUUAGAGGCAUAAGCUGUAAAACAGGAGAGUCUGUUUUAAGAGGAUCUGUUUGAAGUUUAAUGUAACUGAAGUCCAUGCACCUGAAGCCAUUAAUUGAUAUAAGUGAAGUAAGUCUUUGGGUUUCCGGUAGCUCUGACUCAGAUUCUGCUUGCCUCUUCUCCAUGAGAUUACCAAGGCAUCAGGGCAGAGACUCCCUGAGGAUGAGUGGAUCUGGUUCAGAACAUCUGUGAACACAGAGGGAGUGGAAACUUCACUUUCAACAUCAUCAGCCAACUUCCCUCCCAUUACAAUUCUAUCUCAAGAUCAAGGUCAUGCAACAAAACCAGCAGCUUCUUCAAGUGGACUCUCUCUCCAGAAACAUCGUCUGGGCCUUCCUACAGCAUGGCAGCUGGGUUCCUGAAGAACAAAAGCAGAACUUUCCAAACGCUUAAAGGGCUAGGUCUGGAGCUGCACAGCUUCACAUCUGCCACGUGGUAUUGGCCAAAGCAAGUGACAAGGGCACUCCAAAUUCAAGGGAAGGGGAAAACAGAUUCCACCUUUGAUUGGAGGAAUAGCAGGAGAGCAUAGUGAGGGAAGAAGUUG
rnacentral:lncRNA from 1 species